UACAGAGGGUGCGAGCGUUAAUCGGAAUUACUGGGCGUAAAGCGUGCGUAGACGGUCAAGUAAGUCGGGUGUGAAAGCCCCGGGCUCAACCUGGGAAUUGCAUUCGAGACUGCGUGGCUAGGGUGCGGAAGAGGGAAGCGGAAUUUCCGGUGUAGCGGUGAAAUGCGUAGAUAUCGGAAGGAACACCAGUGGCGAAAAGCGGCUUCCUGGUCCAGCACCGACGUUCAGGCACGAAAGCGUGGGGAGCAAACAGG
rnacentral:rRNA from 1 species